GUGGGGAUCAAACAGGAUUAGAUACCCUGGUAGUCCACGCUGUAAACGAUGAUCACUCGCUGUUGGCGAUACACAGUCAGCGGCUAAGCGAAAGCAUUAAGUGAUCCACCUGGGGAGUACGGCGGCAACGUUGAAACUCAAAGGAAUUGACGGGGGCCCGCACAAGCGGAGGAGCAUGUGGUUUAAUUCGAUGAUACGCGAGGAACCUUACCUGGGCUUGAAUGUAGGAUGACAUUCCGUGAAAGCGGGAUUUCCUUCGGGACAUCUUACAAGGUGCUGCAUGGUUGUCGUCAGCUCGUGCCGUGAGGUGUCGGGUUAAGUCCCAUAACGAGCGCAACCCCUAUCUUUAGUUGCCAUCAGGUCAUGCUGGGGACUCUAAAGAAACUGCCUACGCAAGUAGUGAGGAAGGCGGGGAUGACGUCAAAUCAGCACGGCCCUUAUGUCCAGGGCUACACACGUGCUACAAUGGCCGGUACAGAGGGUCGCUACCUGGUGACAGGAUGCUAAUCUCGAAAACCGGUCUCAGUUCGGAUCGAAGUCUGCAACCCGACUUCGUGAAGUUGGAUUCGCUAGUAAUCGCGCAUCAGCCAUGGCGCGGUGAAUACGUUCCCGGGCCUUGUACACACCGCCCGUCAAGCCAUGGAAGCUGGGGGUACCUGAAGUCCGUGACCGCAAGGAGCGGCCUAGGGUAAAACCAGUGACUGGGGCU
rnacentral:rRNA from 1 species